CCUACGGGAGGCAGCAGUGAGGAAUAUUGGUCAAUGGCCGGAAGGCUGAACCAGCCAAGCCGCGUGAGGGAGGAAGGCGCAGAGCGUCGCAGACCUCUUUUGCCGGGGGACAAAAGGCCGGACUCGUCCGGUCCUGAGGGUACCCGGAGAAAAAGCAUCGGCUAACUCCGUGCCAGCAGCCGCGGUAAUACGGGGGAUGCGAGCGUUAUCCGGAUUCAUUGGGUUUAAAGGGUGCGCAGGCGGGCCUUUAAGCCGGCGGUGAAAUCGCGGGGCUCAACCCCGCCGAGUCGUCGGAACUGGGGGCCUUGAGUGCGGCGGAGGCAUGCGGAAUGCGCGGUGUAGCGGUGAAAUGCAUAGAUAUCGCGCAGAACCCCGAUUGCGAAGGCAGCGGGCCGUGCCGCCACUGACGCUGAGGCACGAAAGCGCGGGGAUCGAACAGGACUAGAUACCCUGGUAGUC
rnacentral:rRNA from 1 species